rnacentral:rRNA from 1 species
UACGGAGGGGACUAGCGUUGUUCGGAAUUACUGGGCGUAAAGCGCACGUAGGCGGAUUUGUAAGUCAGGGGUGAAAUCCCGGGGCUCAACCUCGGAACUGCCUUUGAUACUGCAAAUCUCGAGUCCGGAAGAGGUGAGUGGAAUUCCUGGUGUAGCGGUGAAAUGCGCAGAUAUCAGGAAGAACACCAAUGGCGAAGGCAGCUCUCUGGGACGGUACUGACGCUGAGACGCGAAAGCGUGGGGAGCGAACAGG